rnacentral:rRNA from 1 species
UAAUGCGUGGGAAUCUACCUGGUAGUGGGGGACCACAGUUGGAAACGACUGCUAAUACCGCAUACGCCCUACGGGGGAAAGCGGGGGAUCUUCCGACCUCCUGCUAUCAGAUGAGCCCGCGUGAGAUUAGCUAGUUGGUGGGGUAAAGGCCUACCAAGGCGACGAUCUCUAGCUGGUCUGAGAGGAUGAUCCCCCACACUGGGACUGAGACACGGCCCACACUCCUACGGGAGGCAGCAGUGGGGAAUAUUGGACAAUGGGCGCAAGCCUGAUCCAUCCAUGCCGCGUGUGUGAAGAACGCCUUCGGGUUGUAAAGCACUUUCAGCGAGGAGGAAAGGUUGUAGCUUAAUACCCUGCAGCUGUGACGUUACUCGCAGAAGAAGCACCGGCUAACUCCCUGCCACCAGCCGCGGUAAUACGGAGGGUGCUAGCGUUAAUCGGAAUUACUGGGCGUACAGCGCGCGUACGUUCUUUGUUAAGCAAGAUGUGAAAGCCCCCGGCUCCACCCUGGGAACCUGCUUUCCAACUGGCCAGCUAGAGUACAGUAGAGGGUGGCGGAACUUCCCUGUGUACCGCUGAAAUGCCUAUAGAUGGGGAAGAACCACGCUGGGCAAAGCCGGCCACCUGGACUGAUACUGACCCUGAGGUGCCGAAGCGUGGGGAACCAAACGGGAAUUAAUACCCUGGCUACUCCCCCCCCCUAAAC